AGUGGACAGUGGGAAUUAACUCUCCCCAGCCAGUAAAAAUUAAGUCAGGUAAAUGACAUACAUGUACAUUGACCUAAAGAUCCCACUAGAUUUCAAGUCAAGUCUUUCAAAUUAAACCCGAGGUUGUUAUGUAAACGAGUCUUAAAAAUAAUCUUAUGUUAAAGAGAUUAUGUGAUUAAUACAUGAACUCAUUCUAUGCAAUUUUUAAGACUUUUAUUUUUCUAACUCUAUUAAUAAAUAUAGGACUGGAUUUUAGGUGUCAUACAGGAAAUGUGAGAGUUUUAAAUAAUGUUGCUGUUUGCUAAAGCAAAACAGGAGAUUCUAUACAUGCAAAACUACUGAAGGACCAUGAAGAAGUGUAUGCUGCUGGCUGGGCCUUGACCUGGC
rnacentral:lncRNA from 1 species